CCUUAAAAAAUCCGAAUCUGAACUCUGGAACAACACAUUACCCUGGUCGUUGAACAUUAUCAUUUUAUCUACAGGAGAAAUGCAAGCAGCUGCAAUAGCAGCCAUGGCAGCCCACGCAAUCCUCACAGCCAUUCCACCAAUUCUUCACCUCCCUCUCUCUCCACUUCCUCCUAAUCAUUCCUCUUUCCAUGGCAUCUCCCUUAACCCCUCACGCCAAUCUUUUUCCCUGUCUCUCGCUGCCAAGAAGCAACCACCUCUUUUUGUUGUUGCUUCUGCUACCAAGAAAGCUGUUGCUGUCCUUAAAGGCACUUCUAAUGUUGAAGGCGUCAUCAUUUUGACCCAGGAAGCCGAUGGUCCUACAACUGUGAAUGCUCGUAUCACUGGGCUUACUCCAGGGCCUCAUGGAUUCCACCUGCAUCAAUAUGGUGACACAACAAAUGGAUGCGUGUCAACAGGAGCACAUUUUAAUCCUAACAAUUUGACACAUGGUGCUCCUGAGGAUGAAAUCCGUCAUGCGGGUGACCUGGGAAACAUAGUUGCUAAUGCUGAUGGGGUGGCAGAGGCAAUAAUAGUGGAUAACCAGAUACCACUGAGUGGUCCUAACACGGUGUUCGUGAGAACGCUUGUGGUUCAUGAACUCGAGGAUGACCUUGGAAAGGGCAGGCAUGAACUCAGCUCAACCACUGGGAAUGCAGGUGGAAGAUUGGCAUGUGGAGUUGUUGGUUUGACUCCAGUAUAAUGGCAUCUGUUGUUCGAAUCAUUCUGGUGUCAGCGUUUGCUGCUUGCUUUCACCACUUUCUCAUAUAGAGCUCACUGUUAAUUUUCUCAGUGUGUAAAGUAAUACUAUCAGGACAGCAAGUAUCCAGUCAUGAUCUUAGACAGAUCAUUCCAGGACAACUUUUACAACGCCAUACAUAUGGUUAACCGGGAAAAUUUCUCCAAUCUCCGGCCCUUGCCUCCCUCAGGUUGAAAAGAAGUGCAUAGUUGGUGGAACAGGGCAUGGUUAUGGUCCAUGUUUAAAUCUAGAUGUCAUGUCAUCACCCGCAUCAUAGUUCUACUAGGGUUUGAUUUCAAUAUGAUGCAAGCGAAAGACAACAAACAAGCACAAAAAUUGAUGAACGAAAAAGGUUAUAGA